rnacentral:rRNA from 1 species
GCUUGCUUUCUUUGCUGGCGACCGGCGCACGGGUGAGUAACACGUAUCCAACCUACCCUUUACUCGGGGAUAGCCUUUCGAAAGAAAGAUUAAUACCCGAUAGCAUAAUGAUUCCGCAUGGUUUCAUUAUUAAAGGAUUCCGGUAAAGGAUGGGGAUGCGUUCCAUUAGGUUGUUGGUGAGGUAACGGCCCACCAAGCCUUCGAUGGAUAGGGGUUCUGAGAGGAAGGUCCCCCACAUUGGAACUGAGACACGGUCCAAACUCCUACGGGAGGCAGCAUG